CAGUUAUUGGGAUCCACCACAGGAAGCCACGACAAAUGUCCCGCUGGGUAGCAACUUGAAAAACUUUUUUUGGAAGUGUUGUGAACGCAGCCCGCUGGGACGAGGCAGCCAGCCAGGCCACCGUAGGUCCCAUAAUAGAAGUCACGGGGACAAGGAAAGUGGGUUGUAGUCCUCCUGUCAGACUACAGGCCAUAGUUCCGGCAGUGUCAGCAGAAGAUGUUAAUGCCGUGUUCGAGGGUUUACUCAGAAAUUUCAGGGGCGGAGUGGAAAAAUGGAUUAAGGCAAAACUACUGAAAAGACUGGGAACUGUCACUUACCUAAACCAAGAGGGACAGAGACAGUGCACCGUGCAUGUGGAUCACAUGUUACCAUGGCGAGAGAACAUGGAGAGACUGCCAGUUAUCUUGUCUCCACCAGUUGCAGAAAAUGUGCCAUCAGUACAACUGGACAGUGCUGUUUCAGUUCCAUCACCAAGACCAUCAGUGAGUCAGACACAAACUAGUCUCAUCACUGAACCAGAUUCAAGGGCUGCUGAGUUGCCAUCAUCAGAACCCAGAUCACCCACAACAAAAACCCCACCAGUGAUCCGCAGGUACCCAGAAAGGGUUCGAGCACCACCAAAAAAACUGAAUCUCUGAAGACAGUAUAAAAGUCUCUGUUAAAGGUGUAUAAAUACUGUUUGUAUAAUAUGUAUGUUAUUGUUUACAAAUGAGGGUUAAGAGUUCAGUACUAAAAAAAAAAGAAUAUGGCCUAAGUACAGUUUUUUAAUUGUGCUGCUGCAUUUUUUUUUUUUGGUUGGGUUGUUAUUUCUUUUGAGUAACUUCUACAUUUCUAAAAGGGGAGGAAUGUAAUAGAGUGAUCUAUGUUUGUCUGUUGCCAUCUCCUGGUGAAUGUUGGCUAUAGCGUACUGGGGUUACUUUUUGGUUGGCCAACGAUUUACGU